rnacentral:rRNA from 1 species
CCGCCAAGUGGCGGAUGGGUGAGGAAAACAUCCCAAUCUACUCUGUCUUGGGGGAUAACGUAGGGAAACUUACGCUAAUACCCCAAACGACCUACGGGUGAAAUUGGGGGACCGCUCGGCCUCACACCGUAGAAUGAGCCAAUAUCCGAUUAGCUGGUUGGCGGGGUAAAGGCCCACCAAUGCGACGAUGGGUAGAUGGUCUGACCGGAUGAUCAGCCACUGAGGGACUGACACAAGGCCCACACUCCGACGGGAGGCAGCAUUGGGGAAUAUGGGACAAAGGGCGCACCCCUGAUCCAGCCUUACCGCGUGAGUGAAUAAGGUCCUCAGGUUGUUUAGCUCUGUUGUUGGGAAAUAAAUCCUGUUGGCUAAUACCCGGCCGGGAUGAGGGUACCCAAAGAAUAAGCACCGGCUAACUUCGUGCCAGCAGCCACGUUAAUACGAAGGGUGCAAGCGUUACUCGGAAUUACUGGGCGUAAAGCGUGCGUAGGUGGUGGUUUAAGUCUGUUGUGAGAGCCCUGGGCUCAACCUGGUAAUUGCAUUGGAUACUGGAUCACUACAGAGUGGUAUAGGGUGCCGGAAUUCCCGGUGUAGCACUGAAAUGCGUAGAGAACGGGAGGAACACACGUGGCGAACGCGGCCACCUGGUGACAACUCUGACACUGAGGCACGAAGACGUGGGGAGAUUACAUACAUCUAGAUACCCUGGUACUCCACGCAUGUAAACUAUGCGAACUGGGAUGUUGGGUUCAUCUUGGAACACCAUUAUCGAUGCUAACGCGCUUAAGGUCGCCUCCUGUCGCAGUACUGUCACUGACUGGAAACUCAAAGGAAUUGACACGAGGCCCUGCACAGACGUGUGGAAUUAUUGUGAGUGUUAAUUCGAUGCAACUUCACCUGAACCCUUGACCAUGGUCUGUGACAUCCGACAGGAAACUUUGCCAUGAUGAAUUGUGCGACUAGA